AAAAAAAGGGGUUUAAAUAGCAGCACCCAAAGUGAAACCGGAGACGUUAACUUCGAAGUUCGAGAGGGAGGUGAGGUCGAGUCGGUGAACGAGGGCCAUGGAGAUGAGGACGGGCGGCUCAACAGUGACUGUCCUCCACAAUGCCACCAUCGUGACCAUGGACGGAGAUCGCCGAGUAUUUCAGAACGGAGGGAUUGUCAUUGAGGAAGAUAGAAUCGUAGCCAUCGGUCAAUCGCCGGAGAUUUUUCAGAGGUUCUCUCACUUGGCGAACCAAAUAGUCGAUCUUCACGGCCACAUCAUACUCCCUGGAUUCAUCAACACGCAUGUUCACACCUCGCAACAGCUCGGCAGAGGGAUAGCGGAUGAUGUCGAUUUGAUGACAUGGCUUCACGAUCGCAUCUGGCCAUACGAAUCCAACAUGACUGAGGAGGAGUCUUAUAUAUCCACUUUACUCUGUGGAGUUGAGCUCAUCCACUCCGGUGUGACGUGCUUUGCUGAAGCAGGAGGGCAGCAUGUGACAGGAAUGGCUCGUGCUAUCGAAAAACUGGGUAUACGGGCGUGCUUGGCCGAGUCAAUCAUGGACUCUGGUCAGGGUUUGCCAGCUUCCUGGGGAUCGAGGACCACAGAUGAUUGCAUUCAGUCUCAGAAGGAACUAUACAAGAAGCACCAUAACACUGCAGAUGGGCGGAUAAGAAUAUGGCUUGGAGUCAGGCAAAUUAUGAAUUCGUCGGAUCGUCUGCUCCUUGAAACAAGAGAUAUGGCUAGAGAACUGAAAACAGGAAUCCAUAUGCAUGUUUCUGAGAUACCCUACGAGAAUCAGGUUGUUGUACAUACUCGAAAAGCCGAACAUGGGACAGUAACGUACUUGGAGAAGAUAGAUUUUCUACAAAGCAACUUACUGGCUGCUCAUACGGUCUGGGUUGACAAAAAUGAGGUUUCUUUUCUUUCAAAGGCUCGAGUUAAAGUGUCCCACUGCCCUGCUUCUGCCAUGAGAAUGCUUGGGUUUGCACCAAUCAGGGAGAUGCUUGAUGCUGGCAUCUGUGUUUCUUUGGGAACGGAUGGUGCACCAUCAAAUAAUAGAAUGAGCAUAGUUGAUGAGAUGUAUCUAGCUUCUCUUAUUAACAAGGGACGGGAAGUUUAUGUGAAAGGAACAACUGACCCUACAGCUCUCCCUGCUGAAACAGUUCUACAAAUGGCAACAGCCAAUGGUGCCAAAUCUGUGCUCUGGGAUGAUGAAAUUGGAUCUAUUGAGAUUGGCAAAAAGCAUUUCCAGCCUUGUAUAUUGCUUGCGAACUGAGAAUGUUGUCUCUGUGAUGUGCAAUGGCCACUGGAUAAUGAAAGAUAAGAAGAUUUUGACAGUUGAUGAGGAAGAAGUUAUUUCCAUCGCAAAGCAGGCUUCAAGGGAACUUCUGGAAAGGGCCGGUGUCCAAAUACCAAACAGAAUGAAUGUUCUCUGAUGUUUUUGUGAAUGUGUUUUACGUUCUUCUUCUUGAAGAGUAGAUAUUUAUCUUGGUAUUUCAUGUAUAAUUUCAGAUAGUCCUUAAAUUGGCAUGAGUUUGCAUGUUUGGUUGA